rnacentral:lncRNA from 1 species
UCCAACUUUGUCAAAUAAGGGGAGACAACUCAAAUGCAAGGGCAGAUAAUUCAGAUAGUGUUACUUUGACCAUAGAAUGUGUUAGGAAUUUACCCAUUUUAUUAUGUAGCAAGAACACGAGUCCGGUGACCCCAUUGUUUCUUCUUCUUAUCUGAUAGAAUAAUUUUGGAGCUAUCUUCUCAUAUUUUAUCUCAAAAUUCUAUGGUGUAGUUUUCGUUUUAUGACCGAAAAUUGGGUUUUCCAUGCAUAAUCUAUACAAAAUUUGACAAUUUUGCACAACCAGUAGUGUGAAAAUAAGUCCGGUGACCCAUUCUUUUUAUUAGUGUUCUUAAACAAGCAGGAUAUAAACUACAUUUUGGCAAAUUAUUAAGAAAUUCUAUGGAUUAUAAUUUAGACACCCCAUCUACCUUAACACU